rnacentral:lncRNA from 1 species
AAAAAAAAAGCCUGUCAGUCCCCAUAACUAAUACAUAACCUGUAGUGGGUACAUAAAUUUCCUUCUGAGUUUUCUAAUAAAAAUUAGGCAGGUAUGAAAGGUGUAUUGCAAUAAGUUAUUAGUACUUACCUAUUCUAUUUAUUUAUUAAAAAUCAUUUUAUUUCUUAAUAAAAAAUAAAUUGUGAAGAGAUAUCAAGUGAUGCUUUUAAAAUGACAGACCAUUGAUGCAAGGUUAUCGUGGUGAAAAAUUAUAUGCAAAAGGUGACUUGAAUGAGAAACAAAUAUUUUGGCUAGUGAAUGUAUGCAAGUCUUUAUAUUGCAUAAGACAUGGAGAUGAAUAACAUAGUUUUCAACUUAAAUAAUGCAGAUAAAUCCAAUUGAUACAGACCUGGGAGUAGUAGAUAAU